UGUAGCGUGAUUAACAGAUGUCUAUUCUGUCACUGCGGAACAAGUACGUCCACUCAGUCCAGGAUGGAAUGGCUGUUAAUCACUCUACAUGCUUUGA